UGGUUCUGGUAGAGAUCGAGGGAAGAUUAGUACCGAAGUCCGGCUGGAUAAGAGGCGAGAAAAGCUGCGUGUAUAUCUAAGGUGCCCGUACCGCAAACCGACACAGGUAGGUAGGAAGAAGAUUCUAAGGCCAACGGGAGAAGGGUUGUUAAGGAACUCGGCAAGUUGACCCCGUAACUUCGGAAUAAGGGGUGCUCAUGAAAGUGAGCCGCAGAGAAUAGGCCCAGGCAACUGUUUACCAAAAACACAGGUUUGUGCUAAAUCGAAAGAUGACGUAUACGAGCUGACGCCUGCCCGGUGCUGGAAGGUUAAAAGGAGAUGUGCAAGCAUUGAAUUGAAGCCCCAGUGAACGGCGGCCGUAACAAUAACGGUCCUAAGGUAGCGAAAUUCCUUGUCAGGUAAGUUCUGACCCGCAUGAAAGGCGUAAUGAUCUGGGCACUGUCUCAACAGCCCGCCCGGCGAAAUUGUAGUACCGGUGAAGAUGCCGGUUACCCGCGACAAGACGGAAAGACCCCAUGGAGCUUUACUGUAGCCUAAUAUUGGGUUUCGGUGUUGCAUGCACAGGAUAGAUGGGACGCUAGGAAGUGAGUGCUUUGGCAUUCAUGGAGCGGCCGUUGGGAUACCAUCCUUGCGACAUUGGAAUUCUAACCUGCGCCUUUGAAUCAAGGCGGGGGACAUUGUUAGGUGGGCAGUUUGACUGGGGCGGUCGCCUCCUAAAGAGUAGCGGAGGCGUUCAAAGGUUGGCUCGUCCUGGACGGAAACCAGGAGAGAGAGUGCAAACGCAAAAGCCAGCCUGACUGCGAGACUGACGGGUCGAGCAGAGACGAAAGUCGGAGUUAGUGAUCCGGUGGUAUGUGAGUGGAAAUGCCAUCGCUCAACGGAUAAAAGUUACCCUGGGAUAACAGGCUGAUCUCCCCCAAGAGUCCACAUCGACGGGGAGGUUUGGCACCUCGAUGUCGGCUCAUCGCAUCCUGGGGCUGUAUUCGGUCCCAAGGGUUUGGCUGUUCGCCAAUUAAAGCGGUACGCGAGCUGGGUUCAGAACGUCGUGAGACAGUUCGGUCCCUAUCUGUCGUGGGCGCAGGAUAUUUGAAAGGCGCUGUCCCUAGUACGAGAGGACCGGGAUGGACGAACCUCUGGUGCACCAGUUGUCACGCCAGUGGCACAGCUGGGCAGCUAUGUUCGGAUCGGAUAAACGCUGAAAGCAUCUAAGCGUGAAGCCGGCCUUAAGAUAAGAUAUCCCACUGAGAUAAUCAGGUAAGACCCCUUGAAGACUACAAGGUUGAUAGGCACAAUGUGUAAGUGGCGCGAGUCAUUGAGCAAGCGUGUACUAAUAGGUCGAGGGCUUGACC
rnacentral:rRNA from 1 species